AUGAGCAAGGCGCUCAGCCCACGAUACCAAGGCCUUUCAACCUAUGAGAAAGAAUACCUCGCUAUAGUUGUCGCGGUGGAUCAAUGGCGCCCCUACCUCCAACAUGCUGAAUUCAUCAUUCUCACUGAUCAGAAGAGCUUGAUUCACCUGGAGGAACAGAGGCUGACCACUCCAUGGCAGCAGAAGGCUUUUACCAAGCUCCUCGGCCUCCGUUACUGA
rnacentral:rRNA from 1 species